rnacentral:rRNA from 1 species
GAUGAACGCUGGCGGCGUGCCUAAUACAUGCAAGUCGAGCGAACAGACGAGGAGCUUGCUCCUCUGACGUUAGCGGCGGACGGGUGAGUAACACGUGGAUAACCUACCUAUAAGACUGGGAUAACUUCGUGAAACCGGAGCUACUACCGGAUAAUAUAUUGAACCGCAUGGUUCAAUAGUGAAAGACGGUUUUGCUGUCACUUAUAGAUGGAUCCGCGCCGCAUUAGCUAGUUGGUAAGGUAACGGCUUACCAAGGCAACGAUGCGUAGCCGACCUGAGAGGGUGAUCGGCCACACUGGAACUGAGACACGGUCCAGACUCCUACGGGAGGCAGCAGUAGGGAAUCUUCCGCAAUGGGCGAAAGCCUGACGGAGCAACGCCGCGUGAGUGAUGAAGGUCUUCGGAUCGUAAAACUCUGUUAUUAGGGAAGAACAAAUGUGUAAGUAACUAUGCACGUCUUGACGGUACCUAAUCAGAAAGCAACGGCUAACUACGUG